UUGCUGUGAUGAAAACUCAGUUUAUAUAUGGCAUUCAUAGUGUACUUUGUGAUACAUUGGCAUUUAUGUCGAACCUGAGUGGUUACCUGAGCAA